CAGGAUCCUUUGCGGCAGCGAUUAGCGGGAGGGGAGAGGGGCGGAGCGAUAGGCUUGGCGCUCGACGCAUGCGCGGCGACCAACCCGGAAGUCAGAGGACCUGCUGGUGUAAGGAAGGCACCUGAGGUUGUCUACCUGGCCAGGCACCUCGGAGGCCCCACGAGCUGCGCAUCCAUGAGCUAGGGGAAAGGAAGGGCCGCCUUCCCCCCUGC
rnacentral:lncRNA from 1 species